rnacentral:ncRNA from 1 species
AAAUAUGCGUUGAAAAAGACUUCUAAAUUAGAUUUCGUAAAGCGACUUGAGGAUGGUGAGAGCUCAGGCAAUGAAACUUUUUUAGAUUAUCCCUUUUGAGCAAAGGCACUGAAAGUUAACUAGUAAGUGUCUUCGGAUUAUGUCCCGUUAUGACAUACUAAGCGGCGAUUUUCUAAAAAAUCGCAAGUAGGGUGGUACCGCGAGCUAUAACUUCUCGUCCCUUUU